rnacentral:rRNA from 1 species
GGGUUGUGAGGUUAAGCGACUAAGCGUACACGGUGGAUGCCCUGGCAGUCAGAGGCGAUGAAGGACGUGCUAAUCUGCGAUAAGCGCCGGUAAGGUGAUAUGAACCGUUAUAACCGGCGAUUUCCGAAUGGGGAAACCCAGUGUGAUUCGUCACACUAUCAUUAACUGAAUCCAUAGGUUAAUGAGGCGAACCGGGGGAACUGAAACAUCUAAGUACCCCGAGGAAAAGAAAUCAACCGAGAUUCCCCCAGUAGCGGCGAGCGAACGGGGAGGAGCCCAGAGCCUGAAUCAGCAUGUGUGUUAGUGGAAGCGUCUGGAAAGGCGCGCGAUACAGGGUGACAGCCCCGUACACAAAAGCGCAUGUGCUGUGAGCUCGAUGAGUAGGGCGGGACACGUGGUAUCCUGUCUGAAUAUGGGGGGACCAUCCUCCAAGGCUAAAUACUCCUGACUGACCGAUAGUGAACCAGUACCGUGAGGGAAAGGCGAAAAGAACCCCGGCGAGGGGAGUGAAAAAGAACCUGAAACCGUGUACGUACAAGCAGUGGGAGCCCCACCACUAAGCCAGUGGUGAACUCCACAUCCGCAUCCUUUGCUGAGGAUACGGUUAACGGAGCGAAAGCGACGUUCAACCGCAAAACAAGCAGAGGGGGCUUAGUGGUGGGGUGACUGCGUACCUUUUGUAUAAUGGGUCAGCGACUUAUAUUCUGUAGCAAGGUUAACCGAAUAGGGGAGCCGGAGGGAAACCGAGUCUUAAUUGGGCGUUAAGUUGCAGGGUAUAGACCCGAAACCCGGUGAUCUAGCCAUGGGCAGGUUGAAGGUUGGGUAACACUAACUGGAGGACCGAACCGACUAAUGUUGAAAAAUUAGCGGAUGACCUGUAGCUGGGGGUGAAAGGCCAAUCAAACCGGGAGAUAGCUGGUUCUCCCCGAAAGCUAUUUAGGUAGCGCCUCGUGAAUUCAUCUCCGGGGGUAGAGCACUGUUUCGGCUAGGGGGCCAUCCCGGCUUACCAACCCGAUGCAAACUGCGAAUACCGGAGAAUGUUAUCACGGGAGACACACGGCGGGUGCUAACGUCCGUCGUGAAGAGGGAAACAACCCAGACCGCCAGCUAAGGUCCCAAAGUCAUGGUUAAGUGGGAAACGAUGUGGGAAGGCCCAGACAGCCAGGAUGUUGGCUUAGAAGCAGCCAUCAUUUAAAGAAAGCGUAAUAGCUCACUGGUCGAGUCGGCCUGCGCGGAAGAUGUAACGGGGCUAAACCAU